CCUACGGGUGGCUGCAGUCGAGAAUCAUUCACAAUGGGGGAAACCCUGCUGGUGCGACGCCGCGUGGGUGAAUGAAGGUCUUCGGAUUGUAAACCCCUGUCAUGUGGGAGCAAAUUAAAAAGAUAGUACCACAAGCGGAAGAUACGUCUAACUCUGUUCCAACAGCCGCGGUAAUACAGAGGUCUCAAGCGUGGUUGGCAGUCACUGGGCGUACAGCGUGCGGAGGCUGUUUCGUAAGUCGGGUGUGAAAGGCCCGGGCUCAACCCGCGGACGGCACAUGAUACUGCGAGACUAGAGUAAAGGAGAGGGAGGCGGAAUUCUCGGUGUAGCGGUGAAAUGCGUAGAUAUCGAGAGGAACACUCGGGGCGAAGGCGGGUUCCUGGACAUUAACUGACGCUGAGGCACGAAGGCCAGGGGAGCGAAAGGGAUUAGAUACCCCGGUAGUC
rnacentral:rRNA from 1 species